UUCGCAAUGCCCGAAAGGGUGACGAAGCGACGCCGCGUGAGCGAUGAAGGUCUUCGGAUUGUAAAGCUCUGUCAUCCUGGACGAAGACGAGUUCAUAAACAAUAGAGCUGGUUGACUGUACGGGAGGAGGAAGCCACGGCUAACUCCGUGCCAGCAGCCGCGGUAAGACGGAGGUGGCGAGCGUUGCUCGGAAUUACUGGGCAUAAAGGGCGCCUAGGCAGUGCGGCAAGUCGACUGUGAAAUCCCUCGGCUCAACCGAGGAAGUGCAGCCGAAACUGCCGUGCUAGAGGACGAGAGGGGAGAGUGGAACUCCUGGUGGAGCGGUGAAAUGCGUAGAUAUCAGGAGGAACGCCGGUGGCGAAAGCGACUCUCUGGCUCGUUCCUGACGCUGCGCGCGAAAGCUAGGGGAGCGAACGGGAUUAGAUACCCUGGUAGUCCUAGCCGUAAACGAUGGGCACUAAGUAGAGGGGUUUU
rnacentral:rRNA from 1 species